rnacentral:rRNA from 1 species
CGCGCCCCGUAAAACGGGACGGCCCGCCAGAGGACCCAAACUCUAAUGUUUCUUAUUGUAACUUCUGAGUAAAACAAACAAAUAAAUCAAAACUUUCAACAACGGAUCUCUUGGUUCUGGCAUCGAUGAAGAACGCAGCAAAAUGCGAUAAGUAAUGUGAAUUGCAGAAUUCAGUGAAUCAUCGAAUCUUUGAACGCACAUUGCGCCCGCUGGUAUUCCGGCGGGCAUGCCUGUUCGAGCGUCAUUUCAACCCUCAAGCCCCCGGGUUUGGUGUUGGGGAUCGGCUCUGCCUUCUGGCGGUGCCGCCCCCGAAAUACAUUGGCGGUCUCGCUGCAGCCUCCAUUGCGUAGUAGCUAACACCUCGCAACUGGAACGCGGCGCGGCCAUGCCGUAAAACCCCAACUUCUGAAUGUUGACCUCGGAUCAGGUAGGAAUACCCGCUGAACUUAAGCAUAUCAAUAAGCGGAACGAUGCGGAGGAGCAUAUCAAUAAGCGGAGGA